rnacentral:rRNA from 1 species
AUGAGGGCGUUAUUCUGGAAUAUUAGGGGGUUCGGUGCUAGGGGGCGCCGUGACCAACUUAAAGAUCUGGUUCAUUCUAACUCUAUUGACUUUGUGGGGCUGGUAGAAACCUUCAAGGAAUCCUUCUCCCCUAAUGACUUUUCUGCUAUUGUGGGCAUGGACAUAUUUAAUUGGAACUUUUUACCUGCUUCGGGGCACUCUGGCGGGAUCUUGAUAGGCUCCAAUAAAGAUAUUUUUGAUUUUGUUGCUUUUGAUCAUGGGAUCUUUUGGGCCAGUGUUGUUCUCUCUCAUAAAGCUCAGAAUACUCUUUGUGAGUUUAUCGUCGUCUAUGGGCCUGCGGACCAUUCCAUGUCGCCUUUAUUUCUUAAUGAACUUUCGUUGAAGAUCGAUGCUUGUAAUUUACCGAUGGUUAUCAGGGGAGACUUUAACCUUCUGCGGUGCCCUAAUGACAAAAGUAAUGAUAACUUCUCCUGGCCGCUGGCUAAUGCCUUUAACGACUUCAUUAGUGCCAAUGCUAUUCGUGAGCUACCUCGGGAGGGGAGCUCGUUAUACCUGGUCCAAUCAUCAGUCAAUCCCUAUUAG